rnacentral:rRNA from 1 species
AGCGGCGGACGGGUGAGUAACGCGUGGGUAACCUGCCUCAUACAGGGGGAUAACAGUCAGAAAUGACUGCUAAUACCGCAUAAGACCACGGUACCGCAUGGUACAGUGGUAAAAACUCCGGUGGUAUGAGAUGGACCCGCGUCUGACUAGGUAGUUGGUGGGGUAACGGCCUACCAAGCCGACGAUCAGUAGCCGACCUGAGAGGGUGACCGGCCACAUUGGGACUGAGACACGGCCCAG